rnacentral:rRNA from 1 species
UUCCAGACUCCUACGGGAGGCAGCAGUGGGGGAUAUUGCACAAUGGGGGGAACCCUGAUGCAGCGACGCCGCGUGGGUGAAGGAGUAUUUCGGUAUGUAAAGCCCUAUCGGCAGGGAAGAAGCAAGACGGUACCCGACUAAGAAGCCCCGGCUAACUACGUGCCAGCAGCCGCGGUGAUACGUAGGGGGCGAGCGUUAUCCGGAUUCACUGGGUGUAAAGGGAGCGUAGACGGCCAAGCAAGCCAGGGGUGAAAGCCCGGGGCUCAACCCUGGGACUGCUCUGGAAACUGUAAAGCUGGAGUGCGGGAGGGGCAGGCGGAAUUCCUGGUGUAGCGGUGAAAUGCGUAGAUAUCAGGAGGAACACCGGCGGCGAAGGCGGCCUGCUGGACCGUAACUGACGUUGAGGCUCGAAAGCGUGGGGAGCAAACAGGAUUAGAUACCCCAGUA